AUGUGGACGAGACAACCAGUGCCUGCUCUCAAGCCCACAAUCCCCUGUGCAUCCUCUGAACACACACACACACAACCUGUCAGCCCCGGCCGCGGCCCAGCUAUUGAACCUGGUGUUCUGAUAACAGUAUCAACAGCCUCUCCCCUGCAGGCAGAGACGGCCUCGUUCAUAUCUGUGACGUCUGCUUGUCACUGUGGAUGGCUGUAACACACAUGGCUGUUGAACGGAGCUGCACAGCGAAUCAGAAGCAAGUUUUCCCGUAGCAUCCGUGAUGGAGAACAAAGACUUAGAGAGACAUCCAUCCUUGAACCUGAACCACUUGUUGCUGGAGCAGGACACCGUGGAUUCCGAGGAGGGUGGACAAGUCACAGAUUAGAAACUGAUGAGGUUUCCAAACAAAUGGCACAACAUAAAGGCAUCAAAUUCCACUUUUCUAUGUACAUAUCAUCAAGGGGAACUGCUGAAAAACAGAUGCACUGAGAUGCUGACAUUUGCUUUUCUAUUAUUAAAGACUAACAAAUAAAACCUCGACUCUGACUUCCA
rnacentral:lncRNA from 1 species